GGCUAACGCUGGCGGCGUGUCUUAGCCAUGCAAGUCGAGCGGACUUAUGGGGUAACUUAUAAGUCAGCGGCGGACGGCGGAGUAACACGUAGCUAACCUACCCUCUGGACGGGGAUAACCUGCCGAAAGGUGGGCUAAUACCCGAUGUAGUCAUCCUGUAUAGGGGUGAUGAAAGGUGGGCUUCUGUUUACAAGCUCAUGCUGGAGGAGGGGGCUGCGGCCUAUCAGGUAGUUGGUAGGGUAAUAGCCUACCAAGCCGAUGACGGGUAGCCGGCCUGAGAGGGUGACCGGCCCGAGGGGCACUGAGAUACGGGUCCCACUCCUACGGGAGGCAGCAGGCUAGAAAUUUGGGCAAUGGGGGAAACCCUGACCCAGUGACGCCGCGUGCAGGAAGGAGCCCUUCGGGGUGUAAACUGCUGUCGUGUAGGGAGAAGGGUACUAAGGUGAACAAUCUUAGUACUUGACGGUACUACAGGAGGAAGCCCAGGCUAACCUCGUG
rnacentral:rRNA from 1 species